rnacentral:rRNA from 1 species
GAUGAACGCUGGCGGCGUGCCUAAUACAUGCAAGUCGAGCGAACAGACGAGGAGCUUGCUCCUCUGACGUUAGCGGCGGACGGGUGAGUAACCCGUGGAUAACCUACCUAUAAGACUGGGAUAACUUCGGGAAACCGGAGCUAAUACCGGAUAAUAUAUUGAACCGCAUGGUUCAAUAGUGAAGGACGGUUUUGCUGUCACUUAUAGAUGGAUCCGCGCCGCAUUAGCUAGUUGGUAAGGUAACGGCUUACCAAGGCGACGAUGCGUAGCCGACCUGAGAGGGUGAUCGGCCACACUGGAACUGAGACACGGUCCAGACUCCUACGGGAGGCAGCAGUAGGGAAUCUGCCGCAAUGGGCGAAAGCCUGACGGAGCAACGCCGCGUGAGUGAUGAAGGUCUUCGGAUCGUAAAACUCUGUUAUUAGGGAAGAACAAAUGUGUAAGUAACUAUGCACGUCUUGACGGUACCUAAUCAGAAAGCCACGGCUAACUACGUG